UGAACGCUAGCUACAGGCUUAACACAUGCAAGUCGAGGGGCAGCAUGGUCUUAGCUUGCUAAGGCCGAUGGCGACCGGCGCACGGGUGAGUAACACGUAUCCAACCUGCCGUCUACUCUUGGACAGCCUUCUGAAAGGAAGAUUAAUACAAGAUGGCAUCAUGAGUCCGCAUGUUCACAUGAUUAAAGGUAUUCCGGUAGACGAUGGGGAUGCGUUCCAUUAGAUAGUAGGCGGGGUAACGGCCCACCUAGUCUUCGAUGGAUAGGGGUUCUGAGAGGAAGGUCCCCCACAUUGGAACUGAGACACGGUCCAAACUCCUACGGGAGGCAGCAGUGAGGAAUAUUGGUCAAUGGGCGAGAGCCUGAACCAGCCAAGUAGCGUGAAGGAUGACUGCCCUAUGGGUUGUAAACUUCUUUUAUAAAGGAAUAAAGUCGGGUAUGGAUACCCGUUUGCAUGUACUUUAUGAAUAAGGAUCGGCUAACUCCGUGCCAGCAGCCGCGGUAAUACGGAGGAUCCGAGCGUUAUCCGGAUUUAUUGGGUUUAAAGGGAGCGUAGAUGGAUGUUUAAGUCAGUUGUGAAAGUUUGCGGCUCAACCGUAAAAUUGCAGUUGAUACUGGAUAUCUUGAGUGCAGUUGAGGCAGGCGGAAUUCGUGGUGUAGCGGUGAAAUGCUUAGAUAUCACGAAGAACUCCGAUUGCGAAGGCAGCCUGCUAAGCUGCAACUGACAUUGAGGCUCGAAAGUGUGGGUAUCAAACAGGAUUAGAUACCCUGGUAGUCCACACGGUAAACGAUGAAUACUCGCUGUUUGCGAUAUACAGCAAGCGGCCAAGCGAAAGCGUUAAGUAUUCCACCUGGGGAGUACGCCGGCAACGGUGAAACUCAAAGGAAUUGACGGGGGCCCGCACAAGCGGAGGAACAUGUGGUUUAAUUCGAUGAUACGCGAGGAACCUUACCCGGGCUUAAAUUGCAGAUGAAUUACGGUGAAAGCCGUAAGCCGCAAGGCAUCUGUGAAGGUGCUGCAUGGUUGUCGUCAGCUCGUGCCGUGAGGUGUCGGCUUAAGUGCCAUAACGAGCGCAACCCUUGUUGUCAGUUACUAACAGGUUCCGCUGAGGACUCUGACAAGACUGCCAUCGUAAGAUGUGAGGAAGGUGGGGAUGACGUCAAAUCAGCACGGCCCUUACGUCCGGGGCUACACACGUGUUACAAUGGGGGGUACAGAGGGCCGCUACCACGCGAGUGGAUGCCAAUCCCAAAAACCUCUCUCAGUUCGGACUGGAGUCUGCAACCCGACUCCACGAAGCUGGAUUCGCUAGUAAUCGCGCAUCAGCCACGGCGCGGUGAAUACGUUCCCGGGCCUUGUACACACCGCCCGUCAAGCCAUGGGAGCCGGGGGUACCUGAAGUGCGUAACCGCGAGGAGCGCCCUAGGGUAAAACUGGA
rnacentral:rRNA from 1 species